GAGGGUAUAGCUCAAGGGUAGAGCAUGUGCUUAGCAUGCAUGAGGUCUGGAUUCAAUCCCCAGUGCUGCCA
rnacentral:tRNA from 1 species